rnacentral:sRNA from 1 species
UUUCUGCUCCUUCCAGGCACAGGGCUGCA